rnacentral:rRNA from 1 species
UACGUAGGGUGCAAGCGUUAAUCGGAAUUACUGGGCGUAAAGCGUGCGCAGGCGGUUGUGCAAGACCGAUGUGAAAUCCCCGGGCUAACCUGGGAACUGCAUUUGUGACUGCAAGGCUGGAGUGCGGCAGAGGGGGAUGGAAUUCCGCGUGUAGCAGUGAAAUGCGUAGAUAUGCGGAGGAACACCGAUGGCGAAGGCAAUCCCCUGGGCCGCACUGACGCUCAUGCACGAAAGCGUGGGGAGCAAACAGG